CAAGGACAGUACCAAGAGGAUGGUGCUAAAGCAUUCAUGAGAAAUCUGCCCCCAUGAUCCAAUCACCUCCCAACAGGCCCCACCUCAAAUAUAGGGGAUUACAUUCAGCAUGAGAUUUGGGCCUCAGCUCACCCUUUCGUGGCUCGAGCCAGUUAAACGUGAAUUUGACAAGGAAGCACUUCUGAAGGCUGGUUUGUGAGUGGAAAUGAACCUAAGUGCCACCUAGAAAGUUUCUUCUAUUGAGAAGAGGUGAGUAGUGGGUCUUCAGCGGGACGGCUAUUACCUUCCUUCAUUUUACUCUCACAAAACAUACAGCUUUUACUGAUAGAGGCAGGAUUUGUAACAUCACCCAAAUCAUACUGUACGUCCUGAGGAUAUUAUUUCACAACAUAGAGGUACUUCUAG
rnacentral:lncRNA from 10 species